rnacentral:rRNA from 1 species
UGGGGAAUAUUGCACAAUGGACGGAAGUUUGAUGCAGCGACGCCGCGUGGAGGGAGUAGGCCUUCGGGUUGUGAACUCCUUUUUCUCGCGAAAAAGGCACAGUUUUGGCUGUGUUGAUGGUAGUGGGGGAAGAAGCGCCGGCUAACUACGUGCCAGCAGCCGCGGUAAUACGUAGGGCGCGAGCGUUGUCCGGAUUUAUUGGGCGUAAAGAGCUCGUAGGUGGUUCGUCGCGUCUGUCGUGAAAGCCAGCAGCUUAACUGUUGGUCUGCGGUGGGUACGGGCGGGCUUGAGUGCGGUAGGGGUGACUGGAAUUCCUGGUGUAGCGGUCGAAUGCGCAGAUAUCAGGAGGAACACCGAUGGCGAAGGCAGGUCACUGGGCCGUUACUGACACUGAGGAGCGAAAGCGUGGGGAGCGAACAGG